AAAAUUAGUAUUUUUCAUCUUAAAAAUAACAAUGAUUUUACAAGUUUUUGAAAAAUAGAUAAUAAAACAAUUAUGUAUUAAAAUAAUGAAAAAAAAGUAGGGGUUAGUGGGCAAUUCUGAUAAAUGGCACCACAAUGAUAUCUAUAGAAUCCCAAAUAACUCAACAAAAACAAGAUAUACUUAAAUUAACAUAUCAUAAUCCUCCUCAACUCUUAGACCAGAUUAAUUCAAUUGUUAUUUUAUUUUCUUCACACA
rnacentral:lncRNA from 1 species